AUUGAACGCUGGCGGCAGGCCUAACACAUGCAAGUCGAACGAGUGGCGGACGGGUGAGUAAUGUUUUGGAAACUGCCUGAUGGAGGGGGAUAACUACUGGAAACGGUAGCUAAUACCGCAUACCAUCAGAUGUGCCCAGAUGGGAUUAGCUAGUAGGUGGGGUAAGGGCUCACCGAGGCGACGAUCCCUAGCUGGUCUGAGAGGAUGACCAGCAACACUGGAACUGAGACACGGUCCAGACUCCUACGGGAGGCAGCAGUGGGGAAUAUUGCACAAUGGGCGCAAGCCUGAUGCAGCCAUGCCGCAUGUAUGAAGAGGGCCUUCGGGUUGUAAAGUACUUUCAGCGGGGAGGCGUUACCCGCAGAAGAAGCACCGGCUAACUCCGUGCCAGCAGCCGCGGUAAUUC
rnacentral:rRNA from 1 species